GAUGAAGAACGUAGCGAAAUGCGAUAAGUAAUGUGAAUUGCAGAAUUCAGUGAAUCAUCGAAUCUUUGAACGCACAUUGCGCCCGCUAGUAUUCUGGCGGGCAUGCCUGUCCGAGCGUCAUUUCAACCCUCAAGCUCUGCUUGGUCUUGGGCCGCGCCGGCGACGGCGGGCCUCAAAAACAGUGGCGGCGCCAUCUGGUUCCUCAGCGUAGUAAUUCUUCUCGCUGUUGGGCCCGGGUGGCCGCUGGCCAGCAACCCCAAAUUUUCUAUGGUUGACCUCGGAUCAGGUAGGGAUACCCGCUGAACUUAAGCAUAUCAAUAAGCGGAGGA
rnacentral:misc_RNA from 1 species